rnacentral:rRNA from 1 species
UACGAAGGGGGCUAGCGUUGCUCGGAAUCACUGGGCGUAAAGGGUGCGUAGGCGGGUCUUUAGGUCAGGGGUGAAAUCCUGGAGCUCAACUCCAGAACUGCCUUUGAUACUGAAGAUCUUGAGUUCGGGAGAGGUGAGUGGAACUGCGAGUGUAGAGGUGAAAUUCGUAGAUAUUCGCAAGAACACCAGCGGCGAAGGCGGCGCUCUGGGCCGGAACUGACGCUGAGGAGCGAAAGCGUGGGGAGCAAACAGG